GCCACAGUGACUUAGUGGUUAGCACUGUUGCCUCGCACCUCCAAGGUUGGGGGUUCGAUUCCCGCCUGUGCG